rnacentral:rRNA from 1 species
UACGUAGGGUGCAAGCGUUGUCCGGAAUUAUUGGGCGUAAAGAGCGUGUAGGCGGCCCGAUUAGUCCGCUGUGAAAGUCCAGGGCUCAACCCUGGAAUGCCGGUGGAUACUGUCGGGCUAGAGUCCGGAAGAGGCGAGUGGAAUUCCUGGUGUAGCGGUGAAAUGCGCAGAUAUCAGGAGGAACACCAAUUGCGAAGGCAGCUCGCUGGGACGGUAACUGACGCUGAGACGCGAAAGCGUGGGGAGCAAACAGG